rnacentral:lncRNA from 1 species
CAGGCUUCUGGAGCUAGGAAGAUAUUUAGAUCACUCCACUCACGUACAUCAUAUUUACGAAAGGAAAAGGAAGUUUCACAUUCGCAAAGUGAGGAUGGCAACUGUUCUUACCAGUAAGGGUUUGGUGACUGAAUACAAGGAAGCCUGGAGAAAAGUGCCUGUCACCGAAAAGAGCUCAGGACAGUCAUAGUGGACAUGUCAGUGCCCCGUGCAGGUCCUUGGGGACCUAAGGUCUUGGGUUAAGAAGCAACUGAGGCUGAUCUACAAAGACUCCAAGGCCCAAGCUAUGGAGGCUGGACAGAAUCUGGGGUCAUGAAUCCACAUGCAAUCAACAGCCUUCUGCUGACGGGAACACCCAAAUUGGACUCUUAGGUGAGUAAGCAAUAACAUUCUAUUUUGACAAGCCAUGGAAAUAUAUUCGUUUCUGUUGCUAGAGUUA